rnacentral:rRNA from 1 species
GACGAACGCUGGCGGCGUGCUUAACACAUGCAAGUCGAACGGAAAGGCCCUGCUUUUGUGGGGUGCUCGAGUGGCGAACGGGUGAGUAACACGUGAGUAACCUGCCCUUGACUUUGGGAUAACUUCAGGAAACUGGGGCUAAUACCGGAUCGGAGCUCCUGCUGCAUGGUGGGGGUUGGAAAGUCUCGGCGGUUGGGGAUGGACUCGCGGCUUAUCAGCUUGUUGGUGGGGUAGUGGCUUACCAAGGCUUUGACGGGUAGCCGGCCUGAGAGGGUGACCGGCCACAUUGGGACUGAAAUACGGCCCAGACUCCUACGGGAGGCAGGAGAGGGGAAUAUUGCACAAUGGGCGGAAGCCUGAUGCAGCAACGCCGGGUGCGGGAUGGCGGCCUUCGGGUUGUAAACCGAUUUCGCCUGUGACGAAGCGUGAGUGACGGUAAUGGGUGAAGAAGCACCGGCUAACUACGUG